CUUCUUCAUGCUGGCAGCAUCGCUGGACCGUACGAGUGUGUGUGUGCGUUUUGUGUUCCAAAGAAAUUCUGUGUGUGAAAAUUUGGCGAUGAAAAAUUGGGAAUUAGAUGAAAUUAUCGCAUAGAAAAACUGGAAAAUGUGUAGAAAACUAUAUUAGAAACGGUUUAAAUAUGAAUUUGUUGAAAUGAUGUGCGAAACGCUGUUAUGAAAUGUCAAAAAUAUUAAGUGAAUGAGUGGCUUGAAUCUGCCUACGAUUGUCAGGGGCACUCGUUCAUUUUCCUUUCGAAGACGAUUUUCAAUGAAAAGGGGUAGGGGAAUAUAGUUAGAAGUGAAUGUUCAUGCAAAGGAAAGCAAAAGUGGUGGAAGCAUAGAAAAAAAGUUGGUGGAAAAAAAGAACUGGUUGCGGAGCGAAGAAAACAAAAGGCGAAGAACGAGUGGCAACAGUAACAACAAUAACAACUGCCAGAACGUAAACAAGAACAAAGUUAUGAUUAAGGCGAAUUAAAGUGUUGGAUGACAAUUGAUAGCAAGAAAGUGGGUAAAAAAGAAACGAAGGAACAUCACACGAAUAAGGAGUUGUAAAAGAAUUUAAAAAGACGAGCAGCUGGUUGCUCAGCCAACAAUGCUGCUGCUGCUGCGCUGCUUUAACUGUGCAUAAUUUUAUUUGUGUUGUGUAGCUGCGCUGCCUUGCGUCAUCGUAAACGUUGACGUCCAAACGUUGUCGAACUCAUCCGUGUACGAUUGGUUUGUAUUGUGCUAUCGCGCUUAUUCGUAGCAUGCAAUCCCGUUUGGUCGCUUCUUGAUUUGUUUUGCGGUAGUGUUCGUUCGUCUUAUUGUCGUCGCAAUGUUCCGUGUUUCUCAUGUUUUGGUAGGGGGGCAAAUGAGAAAAAAAUUAUUAAAUAAAAAGUAAAUCAAAUAUCCCCAACAUUCGUGAAAGGCCGCGCAGACAUCGAGGACGUGUUUGUAUUCAUCAACAACGGACUCGUUUAUGUAGCACAUCUCAUAAGACUUGAAACUUUAGUGUAGACCACUAAAUGGACAAAAUUUAAUUGUCGUGAUCGUCAUCGUCGUCGAAAUCGUACGGGAAUAUCAGUUGACAAUUAAAAAAGAAA